rnacentral:rRNA from 1 species
AUGGACAUCGGCGAAGACGGCGACCACCUGCCACAAGAAGAAGAAGGUCUUGCGGACGCCAUGGACGUCGCUGAAGACGGCGACCCCCUGCAACAAGAAGAAGUUCACGCGGGCAUCCUAGCGGAUUACGCCGUGGUCGUGCUUCGCCAGCUUAGGCGCCAACGUGCUCUGCAGUGGCUGCAACUAGAGCUACGCGUCUUGCUGGACACGGCGGGCAUCAUCCCACACGUCGGUGCCGCGGAGGCUCCAGAAGGCCUGGACCUGGCGUUGGCAGCGGCGGUGGAUGAGGCGCUGAAGAUGGUGGACGCGCCGUCAUCUGACGACGGCCUCAACUGCCCGAUCUGCUUGGAGGACGACGACACGGCGGCGUGGAAGGAGACUCCGUGCGGGCACCGGUUCCACGGGCGGUGCGUUCAGAGGUGGCUGCAGGCCAAGGGGAGCUGCCCCAUGUGCCGGCGCCAGGUGGUGGCGAUGCCUGCCGCUGCAGGUCCGGAAUAUGGCCAGGACGUUACCGACUCUGUUGCCAUGGACGACAUUGAUGAUGAUGCUUAG